rnacentral:rRNA from 1 species
GGAUAACCUGCCCUUGGGUCCGGCAUAACCCCGGGAAACUGGGGAUAAUUCCGGAUAACGCACAUAUGCUGGAAUGCUUUAUGCGUCAAAUGGAUUCGUCUGCCCAAGGAUGGGUCUGCGGCCUAUCAGGUAGUAGUGGGUGUAAUGUACCUACUAGCCGACGACGGGUACGGGUUGUGAGAGCAAGAGCCCGGAGAUGGAUUCUGAGACAUGAAUCCAGGCCCUACGGGGCGCAGCAGGCGCGAAAACUUUACAAUGCGGGAAACCGUGAUAAGGGGACACCGAGUGCCAGCGUCAUACGCUGGCUGUCCAGGUGUGUAAAAUACACCUGUUAGCAAGGGCCGGGCAAGACCGGUGCCAGCCGCCGCGGUAACACCGGCGGCCCGAGUGGUGAUCGUGAUUAUUGGGUCUAAAGGGUCCGUAGCCGGUUUGGUCAGUCCUCCGGGAAAUCUGAUAGCUCAACUGUUAGGCUUUCGGGGGAUACUGCCAGACUUGGAACCGGGAGAGGUAAGAGGUACUACAGGGGUAGGAGUGAAAUCUUGUAAUCCCUGUGGGACCACCUGUGGCGAAGGCGUCUUACCAGAACGGGUUCGACGGUGAGGGACGAAAGCUGGGGGCACGAACCGGAUUAGAUACCCGGGUAGUCCCAGCCGUAAACGAUGCUCGCUAGGUGUCANGCAUGGCGCGACCGUGUNUGGUGCCGCAGGGAAACCCNNGAANCGANCCACCUGGGAAAUACCGGCCNCANGGCUUNAAACUUAA